rnacentral:rRNA from 1 species
AGCGAACGCUGGCGGCAGGCUUAACACAUGCAAGUCGAGCGGGCCUUUCGGGGUCAGCGGCGGACGGGUGAGUGACGCGUGGGAACGUGCCCUCUGGUUCGGAAUAACUCAGGGAAACUUGAGCUAAUACCGGAUACGCCCUUUUGGGGAAAGGCUUGCUGCCGGAGGAUCGGCCCGCGUCUGAUUGGCUAGUUGGUGAGGUAACGGCUCACCAAGGCGACGAUCAGUAGCUGGUCUGAGAGGAUGAUCAGCCACACUGGGACUGAGACACGGCCCAGACUCCUACGGGAGGCAGCAGUGGGGAAUAUUGGACAAUGGGCGCAAGCCUGAUCCAGCCAUGCCGCGUGAGUGAUGAAGGCCUUAGGGUUGUAAAGCUCUUUUAUCCGGGACGAUAAUGACGGUACCGGAGGAAUAAGCCCCGGCUAACUUCGUG